rnacentral:lncRNA from 1 species
GCCAAGAUCAUUGCUGAAGAUGCCAGUGGACCAACCAUUCUGGAAGCUGAUAAGAUUCUCCUGGAGAGGAACACAUGAUGAUUAUUCCCAGUCUCUUCUUAAAUGUCGGCAGUGUCUUAGUUUGAGUGGCUGAAAAAUAAGAAUCAUGUCAGCCUUGGCCGAUUAACCUUCAAUUAUGAAAUGGAUUCUGAUUAUCACUUGCUCAUAUCUGUUCUAGAAAGUUUAGAAGGAAAACUUGGAAAGCAUGGUGGAACAAUUCUUGUCAUUCCCACUACAGAGUUCCAGGAAAGAAUAUCAGGUACAUCAGAGAAAGACAUUGUGCAUUCUGGCUUGGUCUACACCAUGGAGUGUUCAGCCAGGCAAAUUAUGCAUAUAACCAUGAAGUAUAAUCUGACCUGAAAAUAGUUGCCUAUGUCACUGCCAUUGAGAAAGUUUUUGAAGUGUACAACAAAGCUAACAUGACUUUCACAUAGAUGGAUCAUGGAUAACUUCCUCAUCAUCCUCUUUAUCUGUAACUUCUGUUGACCUAUCACAAGUUUAUAUGUAAUUUUUACAGAAAUUUUUCUCUCAUGAAUCAUUAAAUAACAGACACUGGUCUCAACAAGUCAAUCCAAGCCAGCCCUUAAAAAGAAAGAAAUUAAGUUUAGGGGAUCGUGUGGAAGUAGAAAUCACCUAUUUCAGAGAGUCUUUCAGGCAUUUUGCUAUUAUAUAAAAAGUCUCUUCCAUCUGACUGUGCUGCCUUAUUCCUGGGCUCUUCUCCACACAGUUAGUGCUAUUGCCAGGGAAAAUAGUCAAGAACAGUCACUCAUUUUUCUCUGGACAAGUUUGGAACAUGCUGUAACUUUGACACAUGUGAGAAUGAGAUGUAUGGUAUUUUCAGAAGGUGGCAUGGUCCUCAAAUGAGUUAUUGGUAUUUUAUAUCUGCAUAAUAAUAACUCAAUUUUACAAGUUGCAAACAAAAAUAAAAGCUGUGUCAUGUGUAUUUUAUUCUCAGAGAAUAAAAUUUGUACAUGCUGCUGUAAUAAAAUUGCCUUGAAUCACUUAAUAAGCCUAACCUUGACUCAAGCAGUGAAUGCCUACAAACAUAGUAAAUGAAGAAAGCUAGUAUUUUUAUAACAUGAAGCAGUAUCAUUUAUAGCUUAUCAGUCAUGUAUUGUUCAGCAAAAUAAAGAGCCUGAUUGAGGUCUGUCUUCAUACUUGGUGACAUUGGAGGUUAUGUUUGUUAAGACUAUCAGAAUUUUCUAACUACCAUUAUGCCAUGUAGUCCAAAAAAUGCAAUAACAUCCUUUCAUGUUAAUUAAUUAUUCUUCCCUUUUGAAGAUCUAUCCUGUUGACUAAUUGAACCAUAAUCCAAGUGGGGUAUCCCAGGAAAAACCACUGGGCUCCCUGUUAGGGAUCUAGCUGGCUCUGAGCACUGCUGGUGGCCCCGACUCAUCCUGACUGUGUCCUCUCCUUCUGGAGGCUUUGCAUUCUGCACCCAGCUUUAUUAACAGCAGGCUGAAGAUGACAUAGGUUUUAGCGUGUAGAGAGUUUUUUGGCCAGGGCCUUUUAAGCAGUAGUGUUCCAAUGAAGUAC